rnacentral:lncRNA from 1 species
CAAUCCUUGCCCCAGUGAAUGGGACGCGCAAUUCAUUACAAUUCUGUAAUUCGUUACAAUUUUGUUUGGUUACCCCGUUGCCAAAGAUAUUUAGCAAGUCCACCUUGCCCGGAGAUAAAGAGUUUGGUCUAUAUUAUUAUUAAGCAAAAUAUCAGUUUCCUAAACAUGGGAAUAAGAUUUGUGAUGAACAUGAAGAGCUUCAGGUAAACAGAGACAGUACAGUAGCUUUACAAAUCACUCCCAAAAGGUUAGCAGUGUUUAAUAACAUAGGUAUCUCUCUUUGCACCUACUGUUAUACAGUAUGCCUUAUAAACUACCUUAAUAUUUCACUAUUUUCAUUGCAAGGCCUAAUUCUGAGUGUUAAGACUUCACAGGGGAAACAUUGUAUACAGCAUGGACUUUAUCUUACUUCCUGUUUCAGCUGGCUUUCUAACAGAAAUGUGAGGUCUUCUUUGCUGCUCUGCUUACAUGGCAGUGACUGGUUGCUUGAUUAUAUUUUAAAGGCGCAUAGACAUGCUGAUGAGGACACAGGGCAUACGCUUUUUGUGAAGAGGCACCCCAGACUGUUGAUCACCGCAGCCUCACUGCAGCCAAGAAUGAAGGUCUCAGACCCCAGGAGGGAUAAGAUCGGGGGCCCUGCUUUGUGCUCAGUGUUUCCUUUUGGGAGGGUUCAAGUAGCUACAUGCUGA